AUAUCAAUAAGCGGAGGAAAAGAAACUAACAAGGAUUCCCCUAGUAACGGCGAGUGAAGCGGGAAGAGCUCAAAUUUGAAAUCUGGUGGCCUCAGGCUAUCCGAGUUGUAAUCUAUAGAAACAUUUUCCGCGUUGGCCCAUGUACAAGUCUCUUGGAAUAGAGCGUCAUAGAGGGUGAGAAUCCCGUCCUUGACAUGGACUACCAGUGCUUUGUGAUAUGUUUUCAACGAGUCGAGUUGUUUGGGAAUGCAGCUCAAAAUGGGUGGUAAAUUCCAUCUAAAGCUAAAUAUUGGCGAGAGACCGAUAGCGAACAAGUACCGUGAGGGAAAGAUGAAAAGCACUUUGGAAAGAGAGUUAAACAGUAUGUGAAAUUGUUGAAAGGGAAACGAUUGAAGUCAGUCGUGUCUAUUGGACUCAGCCGGUUCUGCCGGUGUACUUCCUUUAGAUGGGGUCAACAUCAGUUUUGAUCGCUGGAAAAGGGCAGGAGGAAUGUAGCACUCUCGGGUGAACUUAUAGCCUUCUGUCGCAUACAGUGGUUGGGACUGAGGAACGCAGCUUGCCUUUAUGGCCGGGAUUUAUCCACGUACAAGCUUAGGAUGUUGACAUAAUGGCUUUAAACGA
rnacentral:rRNA from 1 species